GAAGGAGGGUGCUAGCGUUGUUCGGAAUUACUGGGCGUAAAGGGCGCGUAGGCGGCCUGGUCAGUCGGGUGUGAAAGCCCGGGGCUCAACCCCGGAACGGCACCCGAGACGGUCAGGCUGGAGACCGGGAGAGGAGGGUGGAAUAGCCAGUGUAGAGGUGAAAUUCGUAGAUAUUGGCUGGAACACCGGUGGCGAAAGCGGCUCUCUGGCCCGGUUCUGACGCUGAGGCGCGAAAGCGUGGGGAGCAAACAGG
rnacentral:rRNA from 1 species